GAUGAACGCUGGCGGCGUGCCUAAUACAUGCAAGUCGAGCGAACAGAUGAGGAGCUUGCUCCUCUGACGUUAGCGGCGGACGGGUGAGUAACACGUGGAUAACCUACCUAUAAGACUGGGAUAACUUCGGGAAACCGGAGCUAAUACCGGAUAAUAUAUUGAACCGCAUGGUUCAAUAGUGAAAGACGGUUUUGCUGUCACUUAUAGAUGGAUCCGCGCCGCAUUAGCUAGUUGGUAAGGUAACGGCUUACCAAGGCAACGAUGCGUAGCCGACCUGAGAGGGUGAUCGGCCACACUGGAACUGAGACACGGUCCAGACUCCUACGGGAGGCAGCAGUAGGGAAUCUUCCGCAAUGGGCGAAGGCCUGACGGAGCAACGCCGCGUGAGUGAUGAAGGUCUUCGGAUCGUAAAACUCUGUUAUUAGGGAAGAACAAAUGUGUAAGUAACUAUGCACGUCUUGACGGUACCUAAUCAGAAAGCCACGGCUAACUACGUG
rnacentral:rRNA from 1 species